CCAAAUACAAUAUUUCUUUUAUUCAAUUAUAAAAAAAAAACUAACAGAUAUAAUCAGUGGAAAACUGUCUCUAUGUUGUACUGCAGUGGUAGCACUAGGUCAUUAGCAAUGUAAACAUAUAUAAUAAGUGGAAAGCUGCAACUUCAUCUCUGAAGUGUUUGAGCAGGUUCUCAAUGCUCAUAAUACCUCUAUGAUCUUCAUUAUCCCUGACUUGUACACUCACCUGAAACAAUGAAACAACUCUUAAUUUCAUAUAGAGUAUAAAAAGACUCAAAAGAAGCCACAACAUUAAAAACACAUGGGGAAGUUACCAUAGAAAAAGUUUAUAUAAAAACACAUGUAACAAACUCAAUAUACAAAUUGGUUCAACCAUUUGGCGCUGCAGACAACCUCAUCAUGUAUCACUACAUGAGUAAUUUGUAAUUUGAAAAGCCAUAAAAAUGUUAUCUAAUGAUAUGGAGUAUACAUCAUCACCACAAUCUAGUUGUGUAGAAAUAAUAAAGCCAAGGGUCAGAGCUAUGUACUUGCAUUGCAUAAGCUUGUGAUUUCUCGGACAAAAUGUUGAGAACACAUUCAGCAAGCCAUUGAACAUUGAGAGGAAGCUCAAAUAAUUUCUGCCACAACUCCCUUCAUAUUUACCUUUAAGUCACAAGUGUUAAGCAAUUACAAAGAGUAAUCAGAGGUGAAAAAGCAUUCGAGCAAAAUCGUAAAGCUUAACUUAGUAGUUUUAUUACCUUGAAGCUUUGAAAAGGAUUGAAGCCUUUGAACUCCAAUGUCACAGUAACACCAAAUCUAAUCAAAAUCAAAAUACAGUCAGUAGCAAACCAAAAUACAGUCAACAAUUGAACUAAUUUGAUAGUUGAGAUAUAUACUCAAAAGUCUAAAUUGUUAGAUUAAUCCUAUAAUGAUGUUUGCUUGCAGAUAACAGAUAUAGAUCUCCUAUAGAAAUUACACAUUGCAACUGUUGAGACCAUUAGAUUUACUAAUGUCAAUGCUCUAAUACCAAUUUCAAAUUUUAAAAUCCAAAAUCUGAUGCUAAGUAUUGCAUCUAUACCCUCAAUUUUCCCCAACAUAGCUCUAUCAAAAAAAGUAUGAGUGAAAAUAAUAAAAAUGAUUACAUGUUGCAGCUGCAGUGAGAGUUAGGAUGUCACUUGCACUUGUACCACUCAUGGCAGAACCAAUAACACUACUAAGAUCUUAUUUCUUAUCUCCCAUUGCUUCAGCUACUAUCGCACACUAAGCAGCAACCAAAGCAGCAGCAGAAGCUAUUGCUGCAUCUCUAUCUUCAAAGCAAAUGUUUAGAAAACAAAAUACAAAAUACAAAAUUUAAGUAGAAAUUUAGAAGAAAACUAAGAAAUUACCUGAAAUUGCGCUUAGAACUCACUAGAUGUAGGUUAGGUUCCUGCGAUUUGAAAAAUAAAAUAAAUUAAGAAAUGAGAAACGAUUAGGGUUCAUGCGAUUUGGGAAAGAAACAGAGAGGCAAAAUGAAAAAAGGUCGAAGAUGAUUAGGGUUCGUGUGGGAGGAUGAAGGAGAAAGUGAAUGGAGGAUGAAGAGAAGGGCGAGAACGAAAAAUGGAGGCACUAUGGCGAGAACGAAAAAUGGAGGUAAUAGGGUUUGGGAAGAUGAAGGAGAAAACUGGGAACCAAAAAUUG
rnacentral:lncRNA from 1 species